AGGUGCGGUCAUAUCAACACUAAUGCAUCAGGUCCCAUCAGAACCCAUAGUUAAGCUACUUGGACGAGAGUAGUACCAGGAUGGGUAACCUCCUAGGAAGUCCUCAUGUUGCAACUC
rfam:Lupinus angustifolius cultivar Tanjil contig_22356, whole genome shotgun sequence.